rnacentral:tRNA from 1 species
GGGCCAUGGCUCAGCGGCAGAGCACUUGCCUCGCGUGUAGGAGGUGCCAGGUUCAGUCCCUGGCAUCCUCA